rnacentral:tRNA from 1 species
UUUAGUAUGGCAGAUCAAAUGCAAUCGACUUAAGAUCGAUACAUAAUUCUUAGAAUUUACUAACA